GCCUUCGUGGGGUAGUGGUCAGCCCACUCGGCUCGUAUUCGAUGGAUCCGAGGUUCGAGUCCCGGCGAGGGCA
rnacentral:tRNA from 1 species